UGAGUGACAUUGAUGAUACAGGGUCCAUUCUUUCUAAGAGAGUUCAGAAAGUCGACCUAACAGAUGGUUUUUCCGAGGCUGACCGCCCCAUCGAUGGCCCCCCAGACUGUGAGGGCUCUCCUGUGGAGCACUACCUCAGUAACCACACCAUCGGUGGAAUGGAGAGCGUGCUCUCGGGAAGUGAGGAGGACAUACACCUGCAGUCUGUCAAUAUAUUCUUUGAAAGGCUGAAAAGGGUUACAGAGGCAGAAAGCCUUAUAGAUCCAAACCAAGAACGAGAUGGAAAAAAACAGGAGGCAAUACAGGAGGAGGAACAGAGAAGUGACGGGCAACAAGCCAGCAGCAGAUUUUUGCCAAAACACCUCCUCCAGUUAAAUUCACUUCCUGCCAGCGGUGAAACAGCAGUUGGCAAAGAGACCACAAAUCUUGUCAACACCAUUGACAGAAUAAACACCAUGAAAGAAGACGUGCCUGGUCCAAAGAUUUCCCCUAAACCUGCAGCCAGUACCGUAGCGCUCACGACUUACACAUCAGCUUACCCAAAAAAAGGUUCAUUCAUCAGAGAGGAAGCCUGCACAGAAAAAAGAAUCACUGAAUCAACACUGCUGAAUCAGUCUCAAGACACACUGGAAGUGGUUGUAUGCUCAGAAGCAUCAACUCACACUGACAAAAUGAUAAAGGCGAAAAUGUGCAGUCUUCCGGAAGAUUUAAAGCAGGACGAUUUGUUGAUGAGUCAAUUAAUUCUCAGUAAAGAGUGUAGAACUGAUCCUUUAAACAAUCAAGAAAUAGUGACACCAGUUAAACGGAAUGAAAACCCAGAUGUUUUACAGUCAGACGCAACAACAGCAAGCCAAGAAUUGUCUCCGUCUGCCUCUUUCAAAAGAAGGAGACGGAGGAAGAGACGACUUAAUGUUGAGCCAGCUGAUAGUGGGCAUAGAUAUGAGAUGCAGGACUUAGUGAAGCCGAGUGACUCAGAGGAGGAACAGUACGCAUGGAGAGAAAGGUUGAAUUUCUGUUUAUCUGAAAAUACUAACUUACCGUAUUCAAGCCAACCACGGCAAAAUGGUACACCCUCUUUUACCACACUUUCCGCCACCAGCAAUCUGCCGGUGAAGAUUUCUGCUAAGGAGAACAAAGUAAAUGAUUUUCCAUCAUGUGACGUUCAAUACCAACAUUCACAAGAAAGCGUCGUCAGAAAAGGAAAGUUUAAAGCAACAAGUCCGGAUGAAAAUAAUGUACCUAACAAUAGGUCAAUAGACCCCUUUAUUCAAACUGAUGACAGUGUAUUGUCACCAUCAAACAACAGUGGUAAUGUGGCCACAAAUGUAAAGCCGUGUAGCAAAUUACAUGCAGAAGACUCAACUGUGGUGCCAGUUUCAAAAACUUACAGUGUAUACGGUACAUCAACCAUGGCAAUAGUAACAGAAAACUGUGAAAGACAGGAUAUUCUUGCAGGGAGUCUCAGGCAGUCUAAUGAAAUAAAUCAUUCUAUUUUUAAUGGCAAUAAACAAUAUCUAGGGUCUUGUACAGCAGAGGACAACUCAAUAAGCAUUUUACCAAGCGCAGAGUCAAAAAAUCCUGCAGUGGAAGUCCGCCAACAUGACAAACUAUCCGUUGCUAAGUCGGUCCUGGCUGUAAGGGCUCGAAAUUUUGGCAGAGACUACUACACACUGUGUCAAAGAGAGGCUGAGCCCCAACACCAGCUGGAAAUUGACUGUGAAGACAGAGACAGAUUUAGAUCUACGCUGGAAAAUACUGACUUUCCACUGUCUGCAAGCAGUUCCGAUGCACGCACCACAAAAUGUAAGAAAUUAGAAACUAGUGGCUGCCCAUUCUUGGAAAUUUCCAGUCAAGUGGGCUGUGCUAAAUCAUCAUUAGAUACCAGCAAUGAGUUGCCUUAUAAUCAUGAUCAGGUUGAAAGAUCCUCCAGUUCAGAUAUGAAUAUUACAGCGCAGCAAACAGAAUAUCCCCUGUUGCUUCACACAAUAUCCAAAUGUGAUGGUUUGUCAGAAAGUGACAGAACUGAAUUAGGAGCCUCACAAUCUGCUGAAAAGAAUUCAACCAAACCGUCCAUGUCCAAAGAUUCACUAACAAGUCCUUUAGAUACUACACCAGUGUCAUCCUGCUGCACUUUUGACACAGAAUCUGUCAUGUCACUCUUAAAUGAAAAUAUCGGAGAUAUUUCAGGAACUUCUUGUUUAUCUGUCAAUAAAAAUGACCCUGGAAAUCAAGCCGUAAAAACAUCACUAAUACUGUCAAAACAUGAGGAAGGAGAUGGCACAUCUGAAUCCAGAGACCAGUGUGUAUCACAUGUCUCGAUAGUUUCAAAAUGUGAUUUAAUGGACACAGCAGAAGGCGUCCUCACAGUAUCUACAGCAAACUGUGAACUUGAAAAGGCAUCAAAACAAUCAGUCUUCGCUAUGUCUUCUUUUUGGAGUGAGAUGGAGAAGCUGACAAUAAAUGAUAUUCUUGGUUUACGAAUGAUCAGGAAUGGUGUUCCACGCAGCCCCCUCUCACCUCUCAAGGAAAGUGAGGAGACGGACAUGUCUGCUAUUACAGAUUCAGGCAUUUUUUCUCAGCCUGAAGAGUUUCAGGCCAAACAAACCAAUAAAGACACAUCCAGUGAUCCUAACUCUGAAGAAUCAAGUUCUGUUACAGUAGAUGAUUCUUCAUCUUCAACAGAUGUUAUGUGGGAGAGUCUAGGGGCUGAUGUCUACCCUGAAAAUAUGAUGUUGACAUCUGCUGGGGACAUUUCUCAACCAGUCUUCCCUGCAGUUUCCCAAACAUGCCUAAGAAAAAUGGCAAAAAAUGUAAGCAUUAACAAUCUACAUGCCCUUAAUUCUGAGUCAUUCUACCGCAAAAGGAAAGGCCCAGCUUUACUAUCAGCAGAAAAGGGAGAAUUAGAAAAAGAAGAGUGUCACAGUGAUGGACACAUACCAAAGCAAUACAGCAACUUUGACUCUUUAUCUUCAUUUCCAACAGACAGCUACAACAUUUCUCUCACAAAUAUAUUUCAGUAUCUCUUUGGUGGAAAGCAAUCAAUUCCCAGCCAAUCAGCCACCGAUAACAUCCCCACCUCCUAUAGUGAAGGAAAUUCUGUCCCUGAAACGUAUGAUCAUUUCUUUUCUGAGUUUGAUACAGGAAGCUUCUUUUACCCUCUCAUCACCAAAGAGAAGCUGGUUCCUAUCUUUCCCUACUCUCGCUCAGCUACUAGAGAUCUGAAGUUCCCUGAGGCCUAUGAGCACUUCUUUGCAUCUUCUUCUUCUGAUGAUUCUUCUGGGGAAUCUGAUGAAGAAGACGGCUGCAGUCCAGUGAGGGUGGUGACCAGAUUCAGCCGUAAAACCAGCGCCUCUCAGAUUUCUACAGACAUAUAUGAACAUUUCUUCACAGAUGGAGAUCUCAGACAGAAUUUCUUUUGGAAUACCACAUUGUCCUUUAGGAAUAUGAGUUUGACUAAAUCGACGAUUCACAAGGAAAGUCUUUCAAACCCUCAAUCUUGUGUACCUGUGAGGCAAAGUAGCAGAUCCAUUGGAAGGAUAGUUCAUCCCGUAAAUGCUCUGGGAAAUGAAGACAUCAUGUUUCCUGAUCCACUUCUCCACCACCUGGAUAACAGGUUCUACACACAACUAAUACAUCAGCCUUUCAGUUUUGACGACUUACAGACUGCUGUUUCAAAUCCAAGGUUGGAUGCCUCCCUCCUGCCUCUCAGACAGUCCGACAUGUGUCUGGUUUGUAUUGCAUUUGCCUCAUGGGUGCUAAAGACGGCAAACCCACAAGUUGGAGACACAUGGAAGGCUGUUCUGCUGGCAAAUGUGAGUGCUCUGUCAGCCAUCAGAUACCUGCGUAAAUACGUCAAGAUGGAGGCUGCAGCAAGUGAGAGGAAAUUGAAGUACACAGCCCCGUCUGAUUCUUGAUGUCUCUGCCUUGAAAAACUUCAAACCUAAAAUGAAGCAUUCUUCCAUGAACACCUGAUUUUUCACAGGCGACCCUGUCCUCUCCAGGAUUCAUGAAUAUCUUUUUCCAGCAGAUGGCAAAGUUGAGCUAUAAAAUGUAAAUUGUCAUGCUACAGAGAACAACCUAUGGGGCUGUAGUAGAUUUGAUUUUUCAACAUGGGGGCUCUACAGUGUUCAUUGUUUUUAUGUCCAACAUAAAAUCUUGGCAAUUAUUUGAUGCACCUCCUCUGUUUAUAUACUAUAGUUUAAACCUGUGAAGAUAUAUUUUUGGAACACAGUGGAAGUAUUGGAAAACGAUCAUGUCAUUUGAUACCUGACAAUAUAAAAGUAUGCAUUAUAGCAAGUUUAGGAGUUUCAUUAGAAUUAGACAAAACAGACAUAAACGUGUUGAUCAUUGUUUAGAGUUUUAUUUUCAAGUAUAAAUAAACACCUCACACAAAAAUGUUUUAAAAAGAAGCCACACAAGUAUCAACACAGUACUGUAGUAGUGCUGGUAAUAUCAGCACAUAAUAAGGUUAAGCCACAUCUUUUUUCCUUGAUAAUGUAACAUAAUAAAAUAAUAAAUAUACAAAAGUUACAAAUAUGUACAUCAUUUACUAUAACAAGCCCUGAUGGAAUGCUUUUUUAUAGAUUUAAAUACAAACUAAAUAAAAAUAGUACUGUACAACAUGUUAGAAAAUACUUUAAGUAUAAAAAAGGACUGCAUAAAGUAUGAAACCUUUUGCGAAGUUAUGCAAAAUAUAAAAGUUUAACAUUAAAGCUACACA